rnacentral:lncRNA from 1 species
UUAGUGUUGGAGCUAGGGUUAGGGUUGGGCUUGGAGCUAGGAUUUUUCUGAGUGCAAUGAACCAACUCCCGAAUGGUCUCUAGGAGACGUUCCUAAAAAAUUUGAUUUUUUUCCCAUAGGAAUGCAUGGGUUAGGGUUAGGGUUAGGGUUGGAGCUAGGGUUAGGGUUAGGGUUAGGGUUGGAGUUAGGGUUAGUGUUGGAGCUAGGGUUAGGGUUGGGCUUGGAGCUAGGAUUUUUUGAGUGCAGAACCAACUCCGGGUUCUAGGACGUUCCUAAA